UACAUGUGGGGCAAGCGUUGUUCGGAAUUACUGGGCAUAAAGGGUGCGUAGGCGGUUUGUUAAGUCACAGGUGAAAGUUUUCGGCCCAACCGGAAAAUUGCCUGCGAUACUGGCGAACUUGAGUGCGUGAGGGGUUGGGGGAACGAGCAGUGUAGCGGUGAAAUGCGUAGAUAUCAGGAGGAACGCCGGAGGCGAAAGCGAGUGACUGGCGCGUUCCUGACGCUGAGGUGCGAAAGCUAGGGGAGCAAACAGG
rnacentral:rRNA from 1 species